rnacentral:rRNA from 1 species
UACCAGCACCCCGAGUGGUCGGGACGUUUAUUGGGGCUAAAGCAUCCGUAGCCGGUUCUACAAGUCUUCCGUUAAAUCCACCUGCUUAACAGAUGGGCUGCGGAAGAUACUAUAGAGCUAGGAGGCGGGAGAGGCAAGCGGUACUCGAUGGGUAGGGGUAAAAUCCUCUGAUCCAUUGAAGACCACCAGUGGCGAAGGCGGCUUGCCAAUACGCGCUCGACGGUGAGGGAUGAAAGCUGGGGGAGCAAACCGG